UACGUAGGUGGCAAGCGUUGUCCGGAUUUACUGGGCGUAAAGAGCGCGCAGGCGGUCGGAUAAGUCGAAUGUGAAAGCCCCCGGCUCAACUGGGGAGGGUCAUUGGAAACUGGGGGACUUGAGUGCAGAAGAGGAAAGCGGAAUUCCACGUGUAGCGGUGAAAUGCGUAGAGAUGUGGAGGAACACCAGUGGCGAAGGCGGCUUUCUGGUCUGUAACUGACGCUGAGGCGCGAAAGCGUGGGGAGCAAACAGG
rnacentral:rRNA from 1 species